rnacentral:rRNA from 1 species
UAAGGAAUAUUGGUCAAUGGACGCAAGUCUGAACCAGCCAUGCCGCGUGAAGGAUGAAGGUCCUCUGGAUUGUAAACUUCUUUUAUCUGGGACGAAAACGGGAUUUUUAUCUCAAUUGACGGUACCAGAGGAAUAAGCACCGGCUAACUCCGUGCCAGCAGCCGCGGUAAUACGGAGGGUGCGAGCGUUAUCCGGAUUUACUGGGUUUAAAGGGUGCGUAGGUGGGCUUAUAAGUCAGUUGUGAAAUCUCCGAGCUUAACUUGGAAACUGCCGUUGNUACUAUAGGUCUUGAAUUAUCUGGAGGUAAGCGGAAUAUGUCAUGUAGCGGUGAAAUGCUUAGAUAUGACAUAGAACACCAAUUGCGAAGGCAGCUUACUACAUAUAAAUUGACGCUGAGGCACGAAAGCGUGGGGA